GGAGGGUGCGAGCGUUAAUCGGAAUUACUGGGCGUAAAGCGCGCGUAGGUGGCUUGAUAAGCCGGUUGUGAAAGCCCCGGGCUCAACCUGGGAACGGCAUCCGGAACUGUCAAGCUAGAGUGCAGGAGAGGAAGGUAGAAUUCCCGGUGUAGCGGUGAAAUGCGUAGAGAUCGGGAGGAAUACCAGUGGCGAAGGCGGCCUUCUGGACUGACACUGACACUGAGGUGCGAAACCGUGGGUAGCAAACAGGAUUAGAUACCCUGGUAGUCCACGCCGUAAACGAUGUCGACCACCCGUUGGGUGCCUAGCGCACUUUGUGGCGAAGUUAACGCGAUAAGUCGACCGCCUGGGGAGUACGGCCGCAAGGUUA
rnacentral:rRNA from 1 species